CUUGCAGGCGAUCCUCUCCAGGAAACUGGUGGUGCCAGAGAUGGAGGAUGUUAUGAAAAAAGUGGCCAAGUUUGCCAUCGACGGGUCAAAUGAACAGGUCCGCAUGCGCUGCAGACAGAUCUAUCUGAAGUACCUGAUGGACUAUCCACUGGGC